AUUGAACGCUGGCGGCAUGCCUAACACACGCAAGUCGAACGAACCUUUCGGGGUUAGUGGCGGACGGGUGAGUAACACGUGGGAACGUGCCUUUAGGUUCGGAAUAACUCAGGGAAACUUGUGCUAAUACCGAAUGUGCCCUUCGGGGGAAAGAUUUAUCGCCUUUAGAGCGGCCCGCGUCUGAUUAGCUAGUUGGUGAGGUAAAGGCUCACCAAGGCUACGAUCAGUAGCUGGUCUGAGAGGAUGACCAGCCACAUUGGGACUGAGACACGGCCCAAACUCCUACGGGAGGCAGCAGUGGGGAGUCUUGCGCAAUGGGCGAAAGCCUGACACAGCCAUGCCGCGUGGAUGAUGAAGGUCUUAGGAUUGUAAAAUCCUUUCACCGGUGAAGAUAAUGACUGUAGCCGGAGAAGAAGCCCCGGCUAACUUCGUGCCAGCCGCCGCAGUAACAC
rnacentral:rRNA from 1 species